rnacentral:tRNA from 1 species
UCCGCAGUAGCUCAGUGGUAGAGCUAUCGGCUGUUAACCGAUCGGUCGUAGGUUCGAGUCCUACCUGUGGAG